UUUUCUUUCUUUUUUCUUUUCCGUGUUCUCCUUUCUAACCUAGAAACCCUAGUCCCUGUCUCCCUUAAAGAUGUCAUCAUUUCCUCUAUCAAACCACCAUCAGUGAGCAAUAUUUUGUCAAUGAAUGACAUCGUGGGACGCUUAUUUUUUCUCCUUGUUUUUCAUUUUUUUCCUUCUCCUUACCCACGGUUGUUACUUCUCAUUGUCAUUGCUAUGAUCGUCGAACGUCUUCUCUGACAUCGAACUUUCAAUCCAAAACCAACAAAUUGAUUGAGUUUUAGCUGGGUUGGCAUCAACAUUGUUGUCAAUGAAGAAAGAUAAGGGUUCGAGUGUGCUCAAGCGAGUUUUAUCCUCUUAUUUAAGGAUUGGUGAGGGGCUAUAAGUAGUUCUAGGCAUUGUAUCAAUAUAUAGAGGAUUAUAUUUCUCAAAAAAAAUCUCCUAAUCUCACAGUCGAUAUAGCUUGAUUUUGAUAUGUCUUUUUACUUUUGAGCUUGCUAACAGUGGUUUGAUAGAAAUAGUGACAACAUCCUUGAAGGAGGCAAUGGCUAUGGUUUCUAGGUUAGAAGGGAGAAGAUGAAGAAAAGGAGAGGACAUAGAAAAAAUAAGGAAAGAAAAUGAAAAAAGAAAAAGUGGAAUUCAUGGUGGAAGAGAUGGACUUAACAAUUGAGUGACCAAUUUGAUUAAUUUCUUUAAUGAAAGUGACUAAAUUAACCAAAAAAAUUAGAGAGACUAAAAUAAGAACAACCUAAUUUUGGAGUGACUAGUAGGGAAGAUUACCCAAAUUUUUUUCGAAAGACAAAUUUACUUUAUAUGACUUAAUUGAAGUAUUAAGUAAUCAAUAAAUUUAAAAAUGAUAUAUGAAAUUCAAUAUACUGAACAAAUCUCCUAAGAUAUUUUAUGUUAUAAAGUACUUGUGAUUUACUUUUAAAAAAACAACCACAAAAAUUUAAGUUUUAUUCAAAUUUUUUCAAAUUAUUUCGUGUCAUAGGUGUUAUACAUAACAAAUCUCUUCGCACAUAAUAUGAUGUAAAGCAUUGUAGCAAAGCAAUCCGCUACAAUAAAUCUUGUAACGAUCUGAAAAUCAGUGGUGUCGAAAAAUUCAGUUUCAAAAUUUUAUUUUCAUAAAUUGAAGUCAUAAAUAUUUUUAUUAAAUAUUUAUAGAAUUAUAGUAGAAAUUAAUUGAAC
rnacentral:lncRNA from 1 species